rnacentral:rRNA from 1 species
UGCACCCCGCUGACGAGCGGCGGACGGGUGAGUAAUGCUUAGGAAUCUGCCCAGUAGUGGGGGACAACAGUCGGAAACGGCUGCUAAUACCGCAUACGCCCUACGGGGGAAAGCAGGGGAUCUUCGGACCUUGCGCUAUUGGAUGAGCCUAAGUCGGAUUAGCUAGUUGGUGGGGUAAAGGCCUACCAAGGCGACGAUCCGUAGCUGGUCUGAGAGGAUGAUCAGCCACAUCGGGACUGAGACACGGCCCGAACUCCUACGGGAGGCAGCAGUGGGGAAUAUUGGACAAUGGGGGCAACCCUGAUCCAGCCAUGCCGCGUGUGUGAAGAAGGCUUUCGGGUUGUAAAGCACUUUCAGCGAGGAGGAAGGCCUUAAAGUUAAUACCUUUAAGGAUUGACGUUACUCGCAGAAGAAGCACCGGCUAACUCCGUGCCAGCAGCCGCGGUAAUACGGAGGGUGCAAGCGUUAAUCGGAAUUACUGGGCGUAAAGCGCGCGUAGGUGGUUUGGUAAGCGAGAUGUGAAAGCCCCGGGCUUAACCUGGGAACGGCAUUUCGAACUGUCAGACUAGAGUGUGGUAGAGGGUAGUGGAAUUUCCUGUGU